UGGGUGUUCAGACUUCAACAUAUGAAUUUAAAGGACACAAUCAUGCAUAAUUGUGACAUCAGGGAUAGGAAGCAGGAAGAGUCUAUAUAACGAAAAGCACCGGCAGACCAUGAGGAAGAAGAGAGCCAUGGUGUUCAACCAAGUCAAAGCCAAAAGCCACCUCUGGAAGGAGAGCCAUUCACACUGAGGUCACAAGUGGUUCACAGACACUCAGUGAGAACGCUACAGUAAUGUGGCCAUUUAUUUUGUAGCUGCAUUGCUACUAAAAAUGGACUGUCAUUCAUCACACCUUCUGAGAAAGCAAAGGAUAUGCAGAAUAGAGCAUAAAUAUCUGAAAAAGAAACUGAUGUUUACCUCUAGGAGUAAAGGACUCAUCGCAGGGGCUCAUAUCCCCCAGGACGAACAGAAGAUUUUCCUUCUAGGACAGAAAGAAGAUUUUCCUGCCACUUUUGCCAUCUGGAAAUUUUGGAUCGCCCAUCCUUCCUGGAAGAGAUGUAUAUGUUCCUAUAAAUAUAAAUCGUAAUAAGUUCCUCCA
rnacentral:sRNA from 1 species